rnacentral:rRNA from 1 species
UAACACAUGCAAGUCGAGCGAUUCUCUUCGGAGAAGAGCGGCGGACGGGUGAGUAACGCGUGGGUAACCUGCCCUGUACACACGGAUAACAUACCGAAAGGUAUGCUAAUACGGGAUAACAUAAGAAAUUCGCACGUUUUCUUAUCAAAGCUCCGGCGGUAUGAGAUGGACCCGCGUCUGAUUAGCUAGUUGGUAAGGUAAUGGCUUACCAAGGCGACGAUCAGUAGCCGACCUGAGAGGGUGAUCGGCCACAUUGGAACUGAGACACGGUCCAAACUCC